rnacentral:tRNA from 1 species
GAGCCAUUAGCUCAGUUGGUAGAGCAUCUGACUUUUAAUCAGAGGGUCAGAGGUUUGAAUCCUCUAUGGCUCACUA